GUUCCGCAGACAAGACAUCCUCAUCUGUGUCUGACUGUGAGCGAGCCGUCCGUAGGUAGCUACGUAGAUCACCAUGCAUAAGCUCUCUUUACACGUUAUCCAAGUUGCCAUACCUACAUCAUCGCAGAGGAGAUACUGCAGGCUUGGUUUCAGCACUUACCUUUGAGCAUCUUGAUAGCCGCACGGGUCACCCUGCCAGAAAUCUUC